rnacentral:rRNA from 1 species
GGUAGUCCACGCCGUAAACGAUGUCGACUUGGAGGUUGUGCCCUUGAGGCGUGGCUUCCGGAGCUAACGCGUUAAGUCGACCGCCUGGGGAGUACGGCCGCAAGGUUAAAACUCAAAUGAAUUGACGGGGGCCCGCACAAGCGGUGGAGCAUGUGGUUUAAUUCGAUGCAACGCGAAGAACCUUACCUACUCUUGACAUCCAGAGAACUUAGCAGAGAUGCUUUGGUGCCUUCGGGAACUCUGAGACAGGUGCUGCAUGGCUGUCGUCAGCUCGUGUUGUGAAAUGUUGGGUUAAGUCCCGCAACGAGCGCAACCCUUAUCCUUUGUUGCCAGCGGUUAGGCCGGGAACUCAAAGGAGACUGCCAGUGAUAAACUGGAGGAAGGUGGGGAUGACGUCAAGUCAUCAUGGCCCUUACGAGUAGGGCUACACACGUGCUACAAUGGCGCAUACAAAGAGAAGCGACCUCGCGAGAGCAAGCGGACCUCAUAAAGUGCGUCGUAGUCCGGAUUGGAGUCUGCAACUCGACUCCAUGAAGUCGGAAUCGCUAGUAAUCGUAGAUCAGAAUGCUACGGUGAAUACGUUCCCGGGCCUUGUACACACCGCCCGUCACACCAUGGGAGUGGGUUGCAAAAGAAGUAGGUAGCUUAACCUUCGGGAGGGCGCUUACCACUUUGUGAUUCAUGACUGGGGUGAAGUCGUGACAAGGUAACCGUAGGGGAACCCUGC